GAGUAAAUUUUUGAAAGGAAAUGUAUUUUUUGUUUUUCAAGUCUGGAAUGGAGCGUAGACUGCAACGGCUCUGAAUAAAUGGCUUUCUGUUAGAUUCAUCCAUGGCUGUUGCUCUUACAGUUGAAAAUCUGAAAAAAAAACAUUAUUGCCGUUGAAGAGCUAAAAUAAAUUUAUUAUUAUGAGAAAAAAAAAAAAAAUUGUUACCGUUUGAAGACAGUUUGAUCUCUUAUAUAAUAGGGUAAGCUGUUUGUUUCAUUUAUCUGUGGUUCUGCUUCCUGUGGACUGUAGUCAGAUAGAGUAAAGUACCUCUUUUAGGUUGUUUCUUAGUCUUACAUAGGAGAAGAUCAGGAACGUUUCGUUGUUCCUAUAAAUUGUUUGCAGAGUGCUUGCUUCCUUGAAUUGCUCAAGGAGGCAGGGGAGGUUUAUGGGUUUGAUAAAGAAGGGCCUCUCAAGCUCCCCUGUAGUGUGGAUCGUUUUCAUAAGGUUUUGCAGUAAAUCUAGAAAGAGAGAAAAUUUACAGAAAACCCGGCAAUUUACAGAGUAUAUCAGCUGUCAAAUUUGGCCAUUUCUGAAUUGUGUAUAGCCAGUUACAAGAAACUGCAAAUGGCAUUGCAAGCAUGACUGAGAUUGUGCAUGAGAGAUUUCGAUUGAGUAUAUGGUUCUGCAGUUGCACUUGGGCUUUGGCAAUGGACAGAGGCGUAAAUAUGGUGACAAUUAAUGUAGGUCUGGUUGAAGGGCCUGGCUUUGCAUACAAAACCUCAGGACCCAUCAUAACACAUCUCAUAGAUUGAUGCAUCAGUGGCACUGUGGCAUUUUCGGACUGUAGUGCGAGAGAGUGUGAUGGCUUCAACCCGCCGAGGGUUUGUCCACAAGAAGUCCUAUAUUUCCUCAUCAGAAUGUGCAAUGUUCAGCUCAUCAGACGCCCUCACAGAGGAUUUCCUGGUGAUCUUGAUGUGAUUGCAUUCUACACUCUGAUAUAGCUCAGCACACUUACUGGAAUUUGGCACGUCAUAACAGUGGAAAUAUACUUGGGGAAGUAACUAAAGAAAUCGAGUCUAACAAUCCAUUUGUCCAAAUAUGACUGAAAUAGAAUCUAUACAUGCAGUUGCAAGUACUCAAGGCUUUUCCAAAGGCAUGAUAAUUGGAGAAGGUGAAAGUCACAAAAUGGAAAAGGAAACAUUUCUGCAUGGUACAUCUUCUGAUGAUCGAGUCACUCAGCAGUCCUCUAACGUAGGCAAUCUUGGGAAGGAGAACUUGGUUUUUGAUGCAAAUAAAGAAGAAAUUACAAAAGGAGAAAUGUUGGUAGAGUGUGUUCAAUCUGAAGAGACAUCAAAGAAAAAAGAAGCUAAAAUCCAGUGGCCAUACAAAUGGAGAGUUGCAGGAUGAACAGCAGGAGAACUCUAAAGUAAUUGCUGACAAGUUGUAUGAAUCCAAACUGAAAAGGGAGAAUAAUUUAAUUGAUGACAAGCAAAAGAGGAUGCCAUCCUACCAACGUCUGACACAUUCCGGAUCUCUGAAAACUGGCAAUAGUUUACUUGCAAAGAGUGGCAAUAUGUCUUGUCAGAGCCAAAAUUCAAGGCUUCCAAAGAGUGUAGUCAUAACAACAAAGAGUUCAAUACAAAGUGGCAAGGACGGAGUUUUAGCAUUUACAAAUAAAGGAAGCAGAGCUGAGGUUGAGAAUGUUGAAGUAACAUCAGCUACAUCAAAGAGUGUCCACUUCAUAAGAAAAUAGAUCCUAAGGCAAAAUCACACUGUUCCACAACCUUUUACACUGGCUACUGAUAAAAGGGCUUCAUUUGGAUGGCAACAAACUGGCAGUGAAGCAGCUCAGAAGCAUUAUAGGCGUGCUACUACAAGUAAUGUGACAUCCCCUGUCGCUGGAAAAAAGUAGUUAACUGCAAAAUCUGCUUCAGGAGUUUCAGAAACCAAAGUAUCCCAUUCCUUUGUACACAAGCAUUCAAGAUCAACUGAAGCCUCCAAAAGCAAAACAAACAUUGUUGCUGCUUCCACUGUUACCAUAUCUAGAUGUAAUGAACGAGCUCAGAAGCGAAAAUAGGUCAUUCAAUACAACUUUGGGGUUCACAUAUAAUUCCACUUUUGAUUUUAGAAAUGAGAGGAUUAUUGGAAACACAAUUAAUAAAUUUCCCAGAGGAUAUGAUCAUAAUUAUGUCCUCAAUUGUGGUGAAACAAAGAUGGUCUGAAGCAUGCUGUCAAAAUUAAGGAUUAUCCUUGCAGUUCUCAGUUUCUUAAUAAACCAUGACUCAAUAAUUAUUAUGUGAUUUAAGUUUCACUUGAUUUUUUAUUUUUUUUAAUAAUUCAUGACUAAUUAUUCUUGUGAUUUUAGGAGAGGAGACACAUACUGAUCAAGUAUGCAGAUCUACUUCGACAACAUUUCGAUCAGCUUGCAAUAUUGAAAACAUGGGAUGCUGAUAAUGUCUGGAUCUAUUUCAAACAUUUGAUGUACCAGAGACAGUAUAGUCAUAAAUAUAUUUGCCAUGUAUGUAGAGUGAUGCUGGAGUAUCUCAAUAGUUAUGGCAGUCAAUGCAAAAUCAAUUUUUUUUUUGGUUGGUAAAGGCAAAGCCAAAUUUUGUAUUGGUUGACUUAUGAAACUAAUUUGUAAAUUGAUAUGUUAA